UAACUAUACUGCAUCUAACUUGUGAUGUCAGCUCAUUUUGAAUAGGGAUGUUACAUGUCACGAGACUGUUGUAAUCAUCUUGGUUCUCAUGUCUCAAGGUAAUUAGCAGGUACUAGUCAGUACCUGCUAAUUACUAUAUGUAUACUAGAAUAAUGUAG
rnacentral:ncRNA from 13 species